rnacentral:miRNA from 13 species
UGCAUCAUAUGUGACCUCUCUG